UGACCGAUUUCUGAUCAACCACCUGGUUUAUAUAGUGCAUUUUCUGGGACUUAUAAAUCUGCACUUUGCACUUAUACAUCUUAAACUGUUAAAAGAUUGUUUGAUUUGGCUUUAAAUAAUGGCCAUGCAGGGUAUGUAAACUGGCCCGCCAUUCCAUCUAAAUCUCUGCACCGAAGUGUAGCUAUAAGUGAACACAACAGGGGUCCAGUUUAGCAGGGUAUGUACAUCAAACCUAAAUGUACUAUUUUUUGUAGUAUGAUAAGUUAUAGGACAUCAAGUUUCUAACUAUUUUAAAUGAGAGGACAGCAACUUUAUAAUUGAUCAGCAUAAUAAGAACAAAGAAUGUAUAUGACCACACUGCCUAAUACCAUUUGUUUGUUUACUUUUGUACAACAUAUAUAAAAUUAAUUGCAUGAAUUCUUAACAUCUGAAACUAUUCAGAAAGGCAAUGAAAAAUUUCGAUGAAGAUAUUUGAAAAUAAUUGUCUAUUUUAGACCAUUUAUUUUUGUGUGCAAUAAAGUAUCAAUUAAGACACUGACAGCUCUUCUAAAGGCCAUGCAUAUUUUUAACUUGAGUUUCACAGACCAGUUAUUGACAAAGGGGUACGUACAAUACUAAAAAUUAUUGUUUUACAACAAAAUCUUAUUUCACAUUGGUGCAUAAAAUUUUAAAUCAGUUGAAUACUAUUAGUACUUACAUAUAUAACUGAUGUAUAAGCAAUCAUUAAAUCAUAAUAAACAUUUCUUGUAUCUUAUAGCUGCCAUACAUAUUGGACUUGGAGAACAUCAACUUAAUGCAUUCUUAUCAAUUUUAAACAUGCCAACAGUGAGCCACAAAAUGUUUGAUGAAAGAUCAAAAGAGGUUGGAAAAGUGUUGGAAUCACUUGCAGAAGAAUCAAUGGCAGAAUGGAUGGAAAAGGAAAAGACUUUGACUAAAGAAUUUGGAGGAAAUGAAAACAUAACAGUGUGUGUAGAUGCAGGUUGGCAGAAAAGAGGAAGUGGCAGGGCAUAUGAUAGCCUCACAGGACAUUGUUCAAUGAUUGGAGCAAAGUCCCGCAAAAUACUUGGUUAUAAAUGGAGGUCAAAAACUUGCAGGAUAUGUGAGGUAGCCAGUAGAAAAGGAAAAAUACCAAAGGUUCAUCAGUGCAGGAAAAAUUUUGGUGGGAGUGCAAAAGCCAUGGAGCCAGAUAUGGUAAUUGACCUAGUCAGAGAAGCUAGAUUAAAAGGCUAAUGUAUCUGCAGGCCUAUCACCUGGGGUCCACACAAAAAAACUGUCCACAUUACGGGACUUGCAGGCAAAGAAAAGAAAGGCAAUAGCAGUGACAAAGAAAGCAAAACUGCAUAGAAUCCAGUUGAAGUCAAAGCGUCACCAAAAUACUUCAAGUUGUGAAGUAAGAGAAGGGGUGUGUUAUGAAGAGGGCACAGCACUAGGAGUUGAACCGGAUAUAACAGAAAUACCUGCACCAGUUCAAACAGUGACCAAUCAGUCCAUGCCUCUAAAUUUGUCUAGAAUAUAUUUUGACAUAGAAGCUACUGGGCUUAGUAGAACAUCACACAUAUUACAAUUAUCUGCCAAAAGGGAUGAGGAGAUGUAUACUUCAUUUGUAUUACCAUCAUGCCAAGUAACACAGAAGGCUGCUGAAAUCACAGGAAUUACGUUUGAGAAUGGUCAGCUCUUGUUUAAAGGAAAUGUUAUGCCAGCUGUUGGUAUCAAAAAGUGUUUGAACGAUUUUAUUUCUUUUCUUGAUAAAUCACAAAAUAAUGUUAUUAUAGGCCACAAUAUAUGUAAUUAUGAUUGCAUGGUAUUAUAUACAGCUUUAGAAAAAUGUAGCUUACUUGAUAAAUUUAUGACCAGUAUUUCAGGUUUUGUAGAUACAUUAUUAUUAUUUAAAUCUUCUCAUCCAGGCCUUAGUUCCUAUUCUCAACCUAAUUUAUUUCAAACAUUAUUGGGUCAAACUUAUGAUGCUCACAGAGCUGAUGAAGAUGUAGAUGCACUGUAUACACUUGUACAUAAAACUGUUGUAAAUAAUUGUCAUUUUGAAAAAGUAUACUUGUCAAAUAAUUUUAUAUUAGAAAAAUACUUAUCUAUGAAAGAGCUUCAGAAAAAAUCUGCCUUCAUUGAAAUUGUUAGUUGACAAUAAAAUACUGUCUAUAAGUAUGGCACGAAUUAUUGCCAAGAGUGGUCUUUCCUUGCAGCAUUUGAAGCUAGCCUUUUCAAGGAAUGGUGCAAAAGGGAUAAGAGAUAUUUUUACAGAGAGCUGUGGGUCAGGUGUACGUGUUACAAAAUCUCAGAAGAUAAUAAACAAAGUUUCAGAGUUUUUACAAACACUCUGAAAUCUCAAAAUUUUGCAAAUUGUUUAAUAUUUAUGUAUGUAAUAUAAAAGUAUGCACAUUAUCUAUUUUCAGAAUGUAAUGAAUUCUUUACAAAAUUACAAGUUCCUGAUAUAAAUAGGAAUGAUCAACAUAAAAAAUGGGUAACAUAUGGUGCCUGGCUAACUGCUCUUAUUAUACCCUGUGCAGUUUUUAAUGUUUUUUGACCCAUCAGUCUGUUUGUCUGUCAGUCCGUCAGUCUUGUCAUCAAAACUCCUCUCAAACCACACAACAGAAUUUCAUGAAUCUUUAUAGAUAAUAAGGACAUACUAUGUAGAUGUGCAUAUCGACAGGAAAUUAUGAUUUAAUUUUUGUUCUAGGAGUUAUGCCCCUUUGCACCUAUUGGCCUAGUUAUACUACUGCAACAGUUUGUCAUCCCACCUCCUCUGAAACCACACAACAGAACUUCAUGAAAUUUUGUAGAUAAUAAGGAUAUACUAUGUAAACGUGCAUAUUGACAGGAAAUUAUGAUUCAAUUUUUCAAUGU